UGCAUCCGAUGAAACCUGCCUUUUUAUACAGACCAGCUGGGGCCUGAUUGGGGCAUGGCCCAGCUGUGGCUGCUUCCCCAAUCAGCCAUCCCCAGCCACAGCCCUCUCCAGGGCUGCUUUUAACCGCUUCUAUUUUAGGAGCCAGGUAGCCACC